rnacentral:rRNA from 1 species
GUGUCAGCCGCCGCGGUAAUACGGAGGGGGCUAGCGUUGUUCGGAAUUACUGGGCGUAAAGGGCGCGUAGGCGGUUCAUCAAGUCGGGCGUGAAAGGCCUGGGCUCAACCCGGGAAUGGCGCUCGAGACUGGUGGGCUUGGAGUCCGGGAGAGGAUGGUGGAAUUCCCAGUGUAGAGGUGAAAUUCGUAGAUAUUGGGAAGAACACCGGUGGCGAAGGCGGCCAUCUGGACCGGUACUGACGCUGAGGCGCGAAAGCGUGGGGAGCAAACAGGAUUAGAUACCCUGGUAGUCCACGCCGUAAACGAUGAGUGCUAGACGUUGGGGAGCUUGCUCUCCGGUGUCGCAGCUAACGCGUUAAGCACUCCGCCUGGGGAGUACGGCCGCAAGGUUAAA